GUGCCCAGUGGGCCAUUUUUGGUAAGCAGAACUGGUGCUGUGGGAUGAACCAAACGCAGAGUUAAAGCGCCUAAAUGGAAGCUGAUGGGAAACCAUGAAAGGCGUUGGUUGCUUAAGACAGCAGGACGGUGGCCAUGGAAGUCGGAAUCCGCUAAGGAGUGUGUAACAACUCACCUGCCGAAGCAACUAGCUCUGAAAAUGGAUGGCGCUGAAGCUUCCUGCUUAUACUCUGCCGUCAGGGCAGAGGAGCGGGCCUUUCGGUCCGCUCGUGAAGCUCUGAUGAGUAGGAGGGCGCGCCGGUGUGCGCAGAAGCGAUGGGCGUAGGCCCGCGUGGAGCCGCCGGUGGUGCAGAUCUUGGUGGUAGUAGCAAAUACUCUGGAGAGGCCCCGGACGACUGGUGUGGAGAAGGGUUUCGCGUCAACAGUUGUUGAACGCGAGUAAGUCGAUCCUGAGCCCUAGGGGAAACCCGAUGUUGAUGGUCGUGCCUUGACAUCAUUCCUGGCCGACCGUCGGGCGAAAGGGAAUGCGGUUUCGAUUCCGCAACCCAGACUACGGAUGCGCCUAGCGGGCCCUCAUACCCGUCACGGUGACGUGACUAACCCCGGAGAAGCCCUCGGGUACGGUCAGAAGAGUUAUCUUUUCUCUGUAAGCACGCACGCUCCCUGGAAGCAUCUCGCAUGGAGAUAGGGAGUAGCGGGCGAAGAGCGCCGCACUUGUGGCGGUGUUGAACCGUAUCCCCUGGGACCUUGAAAAUCCGGGCGAGGGCCACGUGGACUCCGAGCUGGCUCGUACCGAUAUCCGCAUCAGGUCUCCGAGGUCCAAAGCCUCUUG
rnacentral:rRNA from 1 species